CGCAUUUGGUUCCGUAAGGAUCAAAAGGGAAUUUGGUGCAAAGCCAAAACUAUCCCCGUAGCUGUGAGUUCUUUACAAUGCCGGUCUAUUUGCCACUGUAGGAUCUUCUUAUGGGAAGGCGACCGGACAGAACGAGUCAGAAGACCUGCCAAUUGCAAAU
rnacentral:ncRNA from 1 species